rnacentral:rRNA from 1 species
GAUGAACGCUAGCUACAGGCUUAACACAUGCAAGUCGAGGGGAAACGACAUCGAAAGCUUGCUUUUGAUGGGCGUCGACCGGCGCACGGGUGAGUAACGCGUAUUCAACCUGCCCACCACUUGGGGAUAACCUUGCGAAAGUAAGACUAAUACCCAAUGAUAUCUCUAGAAGACAUCUGAAAGGGAUUAAAGAUUUAUCGGUGAUGGAUGGGGAUGCGUCUGAUUAGCUUGUUGGCGGGGUAACGGCCCACCAAGGCUACGAUCAGUAGGGGUUCUGAGAGGAAGGUCCCCCACAUUGGAACUGAGACACGGUCCAAACUCCUACGGGAGGCAGCAGUGAGGAAUAUUGGUCAAUGGACGGGAGUCUGAACCAGCCAAGUAGCGUGCAGGAUGACGGCCCUAUGGGUUGUAAACUGCUUUUAUAAGGGAAUAAAGUGAGUCUCGUGAGACUUUUUGCAUGUACCUUAUGAAUAAGGACCGGCUAAUUCCGUGCCAGCAGCCGCCGUAA